rnacentral:rRNA from 1 species
ACGCACGCUGGCGGCGUGCUUCACCCCUGCAAGUCGCACGGAAAGGCCCUGCUUUUGUGGGGUGCUCGAGUGGCGAACGGGUGAGUAACACGUGAGUAACCUGCCCUUGACUUUGGGAUAACUUCAGGAAACUGGGGCUAAUACCGGAUAGGAGCUCCUGCUGCAUGGUGGGGGUUGGAAAGUUUCGGCGGUUGGGGAUGGACUCGCGGCUUAUCAGCUUGUUGGUGGGGUAGUGGCUUACCAAGGCUUUGACGGGUAGCCGGCCUGAGAGGGUGACCGGCCACAUUGGGACUGAGAUACGGCCCAGACUCCUACGGGAGGCAGCAGUGGGGAAUAUUGCACAAUGGGCGGAAGCCUGAUGCAACAACGCCGCGUGCGGGAUGACGGCCUUCGGGUUGUAAACCGCUUUCGCCUGUGACGAAGCGUGAGUGACGGUAAUGGGUAAAGAAGCACCGGCUAACUACGUG